AGCACCUUGUGCCCAGGCCCUUCUUUUCCUGACACGCACGUGAGUAAAUGAUAUUCUCCUUAUCAUGAUAACAUUCCUAUUUCUUACGUGCUUGCAACUUGCCAUGGCGUUUUAUACUUUAUAUGGCUUUACAGAAGAUAGUGGGAUAGUGAAAUAUCCUAAAUAAUAGCGGGUUUUAUUCAAACAUCAUUUCAAAGAUAAAGAUGACUAAGGUGACUAGGAAGAGUCCUUUCAGUUUAUGGUGGGCAAUAAAAGUGAGGAUUCCUUGUUGUAGGAUGAUUUUCAGAGUCAAUACAUAAUAUGUGGUAGGAUUGACAGCACCGUAUACAUUUUAAGUUUUCUUCAAAAACAGGUGCUCCACAUAGUGGGCAUUUGGAAAGUUCUGGCUGUUGUGAGUGUUGUUUCAGACAAGUUCCUCUUAUUUUGUUGUAAAUUCUAACCCUCAUCUUAUAUGGAUCACAGCCAUCACUCAUUGACUUUCCUUGCACAAACUGUGAUGCAUACCAGCAAACAAAAACACCACAACUUGAAGUAUCUUGUUGAAGAGUAUGCGGCGACCAAAGUCUUCCUCCCUGACCACCAUUUUGCAAGGAAAGCAUUGAUGUGGAUGCUGCAUAAAGAACAUAUUCAUGAUCUUCCUGUAGACACCAGAAAAAUGAAUUGAUUACUUCAUCAUACAACCAGCCAGAGAUACAGAAUGUGGUCCAUUCCUUAAUAGUUUUGCGGUGAUUGAUGAAGAUUCUGUAAUGAGAGGAUUGCUGGUUGUUGACUUGCUGAUAUUUGAUGUUCUUUUUUUACGUUUCAUUGACGUUUUCCCGGCGUCAGGAGCUGUAAGUGCUAGUCCUGAAUCAGUAUUGCUGUUAUUCUCAAAUUCCUGAAGUGCAGACUGAAGACUCUUUUCCAGGCUGGCUAGUGAAGUUGAAUUAGUACACUCGUGGACCAAACUCUUUAUUCUAGAUAACAGAUCACAACACCUAGUAAUAGCUGUCCAUUUUGGGAACACUGGUUUAGGUAGAACAGCUGUCAUAGUUUGUUUUAUGUCAGCUUCUUCUGUUUCUUUUUCUUGGUCAUGAAAACUUUCUGCACCACAAACUUGCUGAGCAUCGUCAACUCUUUUCAAAAUAUGAUCAAUUGGUUUGAAGAAUAGCUAUAUCGACAUCUAAGGUCAGAAAUGGAGAAUCUUUAUAUGCUGUUGAUGUCCAACGUUCCCAUGCUUGCUCUCGAUGAAAAUCGCAAAGCAGCACUUUGCAGUCUGAAAAUAUACCCACAUGUUACACUCCAUGAUGAAUUGCAGAGCUACGUAGCCAUGGUGUUACAUGGUUGAUUUAGUGCAAUAAAGAAUGCCAGAUGUUUUGGUCAAAACCUCUUGCAGCUCGUGCCUCAUACCUGGAAAAACAAACUCAAUUGAUUUUAUUUCUUCUUCACAAAGAUCGGUCAUCAUAUGCUGUGGGUUCCAUCGUGGAUUCCAUUGAUGUAAAAUACUGAGAGCUUCUGUUAUACUAGCUGUUGUUUCAUCUUGUAUUACAAAGGAUGAAACGAUAGCAUAAUCAACAUUAGUCUUCACAGCAACAAAAAAUAAUGGCAAGGAAUACUUUGUGGUUUUGUAUGUGGCAUCUAGGAAAGCUAGUUCCUGACCAUAACGACAAAGUAACCUUGAUUGCCAAGCCGUUUGGUGUAUAAACAAAAGUCGCCCUUUUUGCUCCUUUGCAGUCGUCAUAACCUCUUCAUUUAAACUUAUAUCGUCAUCGCUGUCUUCUUCAUUUUAUUGCAAGACGAGCAUGUCAAACAAGAGCAUAUACCAUUCCAAGUCUGUGCGUGGUGUGAUCUUCUGGCCGUGGAAAUGAAAUAUAGAUUCUGCGUUCAGUUUUUACUGAGGAGCUGGGGUUUAUUAAAUGGGCUCGCAAAUCAGCAGAGGUCGUGUCACGUUUCUUCUUUUUAGCGUCAUGUGGCACCUAAAAAUAUUGCACUCUAAUCUUUUAGAAAAAAACCAAUUUAACAUGUGUAUACUUGUCGAUUUACUAUGAACAAAAAUAAAGCCACAGUAUAAGCAA